AACGAACGCUGGCGGCAUGCCUAACACAUGCAAGUCGAACGAGACCUUCGGGUCUAGUGGCGCACGGGUGCGUAACGCGUGGGAACCUGCCCUUAGGUUCGGAAUAACUCCCCGAAAGGGGUGCUAAUACCGGAUAAUGUCUUCGGACCAAAGAUUUAUCGCCUUUGGAUGGGCCCGCGUUGGAUUAGCUAGUUGGUAGGGUAAAAGCCUACCAAGGCGACGAUCCAUAGCUGGUCUGAGGGGAUGAUCAGCCACACUGGGACUGAGACACGGCCCAGACUCCUACGGGAGGCAGCAGUGGGGAAUAUUGGACAAUGGGCGAAAGCCUGAUCCAGCAAUGCCGCGUGAGUGAUGAAGGCCGUAGGGUUGUAAAGCUCUUUUACCCGGGAUGAUAAUGACAGUACCGGGAGAAUAAGCUCCGGCUAACUCCGUG
rnacentral:rRNA from 1 species